rnacentral:rRNA from 1 species
UACGGAGGGUGCAAGCAUUAAUCGGAUUUAUUGGGCGUAAAGGGCGCGUAGGCGGAAAUAUAAGUCAGAUGUGAAAUCCUAGGGCUCAACCCUAGAACAGCAUUUGAAACUAUAUUCCUUGAGGGUAGGCGGAGAAAACGGAAUUCCACAUGUAGCGGUGAAAUGCGUAGAUAUGUGGCAGAACAUCGGUGGCGAAGGCGGUUUUCUAGCUUAUUCCUGACGCUGAGGCGCGAAAGUAAGGGGAUCAAACAGG